UCCCCGUUGGCCAGGGCAGUCUCGCGUGAAAAAUUCAACACACGACAAGGGUUGCGCUCGUUGCGGGACUUAACCCAACAUCUCACGACACGAGCUGACGACGGCCAUGCAGCACCUGUCACUGGUCCAACUAAAUGACUCCUCUGUUUCCAGAGGAUACGACCAGGAUGUCAAUCCUCGGUAAGGUUCUUCGCGUAUCAUCGAAUUAAACCACAUGCUCCACCGCUUGUGCGGGUCCCCGUCAAUUCCUUUGAGUUUUAGCCUUGCGGCCGUACUCCCCAGGCGGGAUGCUUAACGCGUUAGCUUCGCAACGCAAAGGGUCGAUACUUCACACUACUAGCAUCCAUCGUUUACGGCGUGGACUAC
rnacentral:misc_RNA from 1 species